UGCACAAUCUUAUUCGUAUCCUCAUCGCGGGUGUAUUUCAAUCCGUGGAUACUGCUGGUGGCACAGAAGUCACUCCAACUCCUCAUGGUGACCCAUUUCAACCGCCAACUGAAUCCUUCUGCCUCGUUGCGGGCAUUUAAAUACCAGAUAGAGGAGAUGGCUGCACUUGAUAUCCUGACAACUGCUUAUUAUUUACGAAUUAGCCAUCAGGGUUGAAAGAGUAACCAAAGCUGUUUAGAAUGCUUAUAUUUAGCUUUGCAAGGCUACAUUUUUCUGAUAUUCUUUAACUACUACUUUAAGCAGCAGAAGAUAGUAUUUCAAGAUUAAUAUAUUCCCAGUUAGCUGUUCCCUUUCCUGUCCUCUUGCAAUAAAUAUUUCAAGGCUUGUUGCUUCUUAAACUAGUAGUUUUUAAUGGUUUUCAUACAUUUGGUUGCUUGCUUUACAAUGUUCGCUUGAGCGGAUCAUUUAAUAAUUUCAAAACAAAUCAGUUAGAGAACUAAACUCUUUCGCUAUCACAAUAAGAUACGAAAACUACACAUUUGCAAUGGUAGACCUCGAUUUCCCUAACUAAAGUUGACGUUUUGUGCUCGACUUGGUGUGGUUUCGGUUUCAGUUCCCAAUUUAUUUACAAUUGGAAGAUAAGUGUCUUUUUAGCGGUGUUCAUGCAGAUGUAGGAAUAAAUCAAAGGCUAACUAUCAAUAUUAACAACUUUUGGCUUAUCAAAUAAUUAAACUAAAACAAGGA